GUCAACACCUACGGAGACAUCAAGAUUAAAAUAUCCAGUCCUGCUCCAAAAGAAGACAUUAUCUCUUGUGAUGGCCAUGAAACUAAGAACAACUGUAAUAAUCAUCAUGGCUUUGGUGUGGCUGCAAGCAGCAGUUGUUGACGGGUGCACUCCGAACCUCCACGAGUGUAUCGGUUCACAAGGGUGUUGCUCAAAUUCGCUAUGCGUGGUAGUUCCUUUUGAGGGUGCGAAAUGCAGGGACAAGGAGACAAUCUGCUGGACAGAGCCUGAAGGUGUCCAGCAUUGUCUACAGCCUGCAUGGCCUUUUUAAAGGAAAUUAUCAAUCAUGGGCUAGAAUUUAUAAGGCCUUCAAAGUGUUUCAGGGAUACAAGCUGUAACGAUAACGGUUAAAUGCCGAGUGGAUUGUCGUAACAAAUUUUCAACCUGUAAUUAUUGUUGUACUGAAGAUUGAUCAGUAAACUGAAAGUUAAUCUUUCAAUCUUUGCUUUGCAUAUUGUAUCCACCAAUGUCCUUUUAAAAUAAAAUAGGUGUGAAUUAUGUGUGUGGGUAUUUUAAAAGCGUCUGAUCCUUAUUUUUCAUAUAUUCUUUUUGAAA